UACGUAGGGUGCGAGCGUUGCCCGGAUUUAUUGGGCGUAAAGGGCGCGUAGGCGGCUCUGCACGUCCGUUGUGAAAUCGCCCGGCUCAACUGGGCGGGGUCAGCGGAUACGGCAGAGCUCGAGCAAGCUAGGGGGCAAUGGAAUUCCCGGUGUAGUGGUGGAAUGCGUAGAUAUCGGGAGGAACACCAGUGGCGAAGGCGGCGACCUGGGUAGAUACUGACGCUGAGGUGCGAAAGCGUGGGGAGCAAACAGG
rnacentral:rRNA from 1 species